UUCUUGUGCCAACUCCACUGACAGGGUUGCUUCCCAAUACCAGGAACUUUUAAUUCAUAGAAUUUAUUUGGAUAUUUACAGAAGUGAAAGUAAUCAGUUUCUGGUUCUCCUGUAGACUUCUCUUAGCCUUUUUCAUUAUCUUUUCCAUCCCACUUUAUAGGCCUCUGUAACAGAUGAACUGAGUGNGGCUCAUUACCCAGCUGCCCCCGUCCCUAUGGAGGAGAUAAUGAAUGUCUCUGGAGCAGGUGACAGCUUAAUGGCUGGGAUUAUCGCUGGCCUCCUUGCUGGGGAGAACACAGACAACUGCGUCCGGAUGGGCCUCUUGGCCGCCAGCCUCUCCCUCCGUUCUUAUGAGCCCGUUUCACCAGAGAUCAGCAUCGCAACUGUCAGUGCGGAAAGGCUCCAGCGGGAGAAUUGGCCUCUGCCUACAAAGUGGACGAUCUCCUAAAUGCCUGCCUUCUGCGUCCAGCUGUAGCUACAUAGGCAAAGCCUCCCCACCUCGGUCUUCUCCCAGAAUCAGCCCCCCUUUGAACUAGAACCAGGUGCACUGUGAUUUUAAUCAGGCAGGAGGCGGCGUAAGUAGCCGGUUCACGUCAUACAUGCCCCAUUCUUUAUUGCUACAACUAUCCCUGCUGUGCACUCAAAAUAAUAAAAACCANGUUUUGAAGAUUUCA
rnacentral:lncRNA from 1 species